GGCUGAGGUUGCAGCACAGUGAAUAUACAAGAGCCAGAGUGACCUGGGCAAGUGGAUAACGAAUCGUCAGGAUUACACGUGGUGGCAGAAGGAUGAGGUUUGGAGUGGAAUUAUCGAGCUGAUGAUGGGAAAGUAUCGCUGCAUUCUACCGAGCGCAGCAGGAGGAAUCAACUCAUUUUUGGGAAGCAUAAGAAGGAAUGAAGAAGGCCAAGUUCAGCAUCCCUUGGGGUGCUCUGAUGUGAUGAACUCACGGAUUAGCCCAAGCCCAUUCCCACUCCCGUAGCUGCAUGGGAUCUGAUGGCAGCCUGCAGCUCACCCCCAACAGAGCACAGCGAUACAGGUCAGCUCAUCCAUAAACACUACCAGGCACCGAAACAGAGGCAAGGAAGAACAUACAGCCAGAGCACGGAGCGUGUUAACAGGUGUACAGGUUCAAGCUCCUAUUCCGUGACAACCUUUCUGUGGGCAAGUCAAUCAGUUUCUCUGUGCUGCAUUUAUGUAUUCAUAAAUUCAGAAUGAAACUAGUUUAUGGUCUCACAGGGCCACUAUGAAAGGCAAAUCAUAUUAAAUACUGUAACCUACUCUAGUACUGUGACACCAGCAGCAAUUUAAGAAGCAAAGAGAGAAAGAGGGAGGUUUUAUACACAGUUUGCCUUUGCGGGAGAUGAAGCGCAGACAGUGAUGUCACCCCUUAGGAGAGCAACACAACACUGGAAACAUUUGUGACUUCCUCCAUAGUAUACCCAGCGGCUGCCCACCACCUGCCAAGAGGCCAUCGAGAAGGGCGGCCAGGCUCUGUAUGGUGCUGCAUGGCAGUAGGACAAGAGACAACAUGAAGCGAAACAAGGGACCAAGAGAGGUUCAGACUCGCCAGAAGGAGAAGCUUUCUCCAGAAGGGAGCAUUUUGAAGCUGAGCCCUCUGUGAGCAGGAGAUUACUCUGGAAACCUCCUGAGGUCCCUUCCCACCUCCUCAGGCCUCUUCCUCUGCCAGUCAAAAUAGAACCACGGAAUCAUAGAAUGGCCUGGGUUGAAAAGGACCACAAUGAUCAUCAAGUUUCAACCCCCCUGCUAUGUGCAGGGUCGCCAACCACCAGACCAGGCUGCCCAGAGCCACAUCCAGCCUGGCCUUCAAUGCCUCCAGGGAUGGGGCAUCCACAACCUCCUUGGGCAACCUGUUCCAGUGCGUCACCACCCUCUGUGUGAAAAACUUCCUCCUAAUAUCUAACCUAAACCUCCCCUGUCUCAGUUAAAAAAGAUAUAUAUCCUUGUCUUUGUUAAUGGCAAAGAAGGAGAGAUCACUGUGGAAAGGUAUUCAUGUUUUAAAAGAUUGUUUAUGCAGAUAUCAUAUCUGGAAAAAGUCCCUGCUAAGUGCACCGUAUCUGUUAAACACCUGAGGACAUGGAACAAGUCCUAAUGCGGUGCCUGGUUCAUACUUCUCAGCAGAUAUUAUCUCUUAAUUUCUUUUACAUGGCAGAUGAGAAGGUAUUUUCCCUUCAGUCAGAAACAAACACGCAUUUGUUUCCGACAUCACAGGUACCGCUGAGAAAUGGGCUUCCUGCUGUGUUUUUUUCUGUUCCUGUUUUGAACAAUACAUAAACUAUCCUAUUAAGAACAGAAAAAGGGCCUGGAGUUAGAAAUGCCUCUAUCUACAACAAUACCUCAGGACUGCUGGCAUUACAACACUAUCACAUAUGCAAGCAACAGUAGUAAGAUGUCAAGGAGAUAAAGGAGGAACCGGAGAUGGUAUUUCCAUGAAUGAAACUGAAAAUACGGGUGCCAUGGCAAGUCCCUGGCUGCCCUGCUAUCUUCCCACCAGCUGUGUGUAGGUGUUUCUGCUGGGCUGAGGGAGAGGUGCGGUCUCAGAGGAGCAGCUCUUCUGUGCAAGCAGUGGAAAGGGCAGUGUGUGUGUGCAUCCUCAGGUGACCAGCCCGUACAGACCUGAUGGAGCUUGACUGAGGGUGUUAUUUAUUUCUUCUUUUCAUGAACUCCUCUGUGAGCCCACAGGAAGACACUGUCUCAAAUAGGCGUUCGUCUCUCCAUCCUUCUCCUCUCACUUACUGGUAGCUACAACUCUGUGACAGCCUGAUGGGAGCCCUUGGGAACUGUUCUUGCUUACUUGUAAAGAAGUAUAAAACUCUGUUCUGAAAUUAAAAAGAAAAUAUUAAGGUUGAAGAAGAACUGGGUGGUGAAUUAAGCUGAGAAAAACGCCUGUAGGAAAUUCACAGUGAAUGCUCCUUUGUCCAGAGUUAGCCUCUCUCAGGCAUGUUCCCUUACACAGUGUAUGCCAACAUAUAGAUUUCUGGAUUGUUUUUUAUUUGUACAGGUGAACAGUGACAAUAAUUCAUGGUUCAGGUUGUCUAGAGGACUGGGAAGUAAUGAUAAUAGACUUAGUUCCUUCAGUAGUGUCCAAAAAGUGAUGGUUAGAGCUGAAUAAUUCAGAAAGUUUUCAGGUAAUCUUAGCUUAGGCCCUGAUCUUCCCAAGGCAAUGCUCAUACUUCAUUUCUGGCUUGCACAGUCACGCUGAACGCAAUGGCAGCAGGGUAACACAUCUGAAGCUAAGCUUAUCAUAAAUCAACUUUCUGUAUCAGGGCCUCUAUCACAGUCUGUUCAGAGAUAUGCCAUAGGAAAAGAAAAAGGGUAAAUAAGUUUGCUAUGGCCCCAUUUAAAUUCCUUUUGUGUUCGUUUCCUCUGACAGUUUGGGAAAUAGACCUUCAGUAAUAAAAAAAAAAGAAAAUACAGAAAAGGAUGAGGAAACAGUGAUAGAGAAGGAUGAGGAAACAGUGUUUAAAGCCACGUGUAAGUUCUUGUGAAAACCAAAUAGUGUGUUUGCAUAUGCUAGCAUUCAGGCUAGGUGUUCCCGCACGAUUCCUGUCAGGAAAAAGAUACCAUGCAUAUGAUUUAUCAGGCAGCCACCGACUAUGUACUGUGGAUAUUUGCUUUCAAUCCACCGAGUUCAAGAUUAGAAAAGGUAUCUGUUGAAUUCAUUUGAAUAGCAAAUAGACUGGGGAAUCACAAUCUGUUCCUAGCUAUUCAAUGGAUGAUAACCGGUAAUUCAUUAAAUAUAUUAGUCUCUCCAUUCUAAUAAUUAUUAGAGCAGAGACAGAAGUUUGAAAACAAUCAUUUCGAGAACAGUGCAGCAUUUCUAUGUGCAAGUGAUAAGUGACAUAUUUCAGCACGUGCGCUCCUUGGCUUCUGGAUCAGCCACAGUCACCUCGUGACAAAUCUCCUCGGCUGCUGCUUGGUGGAUAGAUGACAGUGCACCCCACACAGCACAGGUAUGAGGACUUCUAAGAUCAAAGCAGAAGUUAGCAACGUUAUCCAUGUGGCAUUACAUCUUGACCCCUGCGUGUAUGUACAGUUACGGAAGUUAGUCACCUACAGUGCUUACAAAUUAAUUUCAUCAAACAGUUGAGUUGAUCGGCACUGUGAGCACAAGGAAGCAGACCUUGGGCAUUUUCAUCUUGCAUGAAACCAUGAACGAAAGGACUUUGAGGACAACUGGUAGGGAAAAAAAAAAAAAAGCAAAAGCACUUUUGGGAGAGGAGAGCGCUGAGAUCCAUCAGUAUUCAGUAUUUCUGGGAGGAAGGCUCUAUCUGUAGGGAAUCUGGCCAGGACUGAGGCAGGUUUGUGAUCUCCUUUCCAGGCAGCUUUUCCACAGGGUGCUCAUCCUGUUGGAAUUGCGGCUGGAAGACCACAGCCUUGCAUGGUGACUCAUAAUUUGGAGAACCAAGUAGAAAUUCAGCCUCUCUGAUUCACAGAGGAUUUAGGAAAUGCUUGCUCUUAGCUCAGAAGCCAUUUCGUCAGCUGAAGGCAGAAGCAGGUGGAUGCCCACAGAAACAUCUGGAAAGUCAGCAUUACACGUGGAAAGAAGACAGAGCACUAAGAGAGAUGGCAGACUGCCAUUCUGUUUUCACUCAGUUAAUAUGUUCCCUCCUCCACUUGCUCACUAUGUCUUUCCAGGCUUCAUAAUCUCUGGUGGACAUACCAAGGGGUGGAGCUGGGCUGGCAACCAUCGCCAUGCAUCACUGCUCCUACAAACACAUAGUACUAGUAUGGGCAGACGGCAUCGUUGUGCUGAUCAUCAUCCUCUGAGUCAGCCAUUUGCAAACACCUUCUCCAGGCUGUCAUCUUGCCACUAGGAAUUCAAAAUCUGAGUCAGAACCCAAUUUAAACUGCUAUAAUUAACAGUCCCGAUUUAACCGAAUCUCACAGUUUGUCAUGUUGCAUUCUCUGUGUACAUCUGAAAAUCUCUCUCCAGGGCUCCCAAAGAGCCUCAGUGGUUUCAGGCUCCCACCAAGACCAAGUCCAACAGCCACCAAACAAACCUGUCCUUGCUGGAUUCAUCUCACCAUUAAAUACAGAAAUAUCACAGAUGAUGGGUUGGAUGUUGACGUGGACUUUUCUAUAAAUACUGCUGGUGAGGGCAAAGCCCGGGUGCGACAUGAAGGAAAGAAGGGUGGAAGUAUCUCACUUGCUCAGAAGCCCCAAAAAACUUAGAAUGGUUGAGACUCCUAUGAAGGAGAUAAUUAUACACUGCACAAGCUAAAAACAAGCACUUUUUUUCUUUAUUGUUUCUAAAUGAUGUUAUUAUGAAUGAAAAUUCACUCUGAGGAAGGUCUCCAGUUACUGUGGAUGCUUAGGAGAGCCCCUGAGUUUACUUUUAGGGAACGCAGUGCUAUUGCAAAUAAGGUGACCUGGGGACUAUCUGAUGGUUUUUCAGCCAUAAGUGACAGCAAGCUGGACUGUGGGUGGAAGUGCAUUUUUGAAAACACUUAUUUUUACGAUUUAAGGAGGAAUUUUUAUGUCCUCUGCUUUUUUUCUUUACUUUCAUCUGACCAUCAGGGAGCACUUCUGUGCUGCACAGGUGGCAGAACAGUGGCACAGGCUGCCCAGAGGCUGCGGAGCCCCCUCUUUGGAGCUCUUCAGAAGAUGCCUGAGCACACUGCUCCAGGCGUCCCUGCUUGGGCAGGGGUUGGGCCAGAUGGACUCUGAGGUCCCUACCACCCCCAGCCUUGAUGGAAUUCUGUGAUUCCUUUCAAUUCUCUGAAUGAUGGAUUUAGUCUUUUGUGUUGUGCUGCUAUUGUUUUUGCAGAGCUAUUUCAAGGCUGCCACUGUGAGCUCCCCUCUCAACCUAAGUGCUGCACUACUGUAGCUGGAGAGCCAUCCACUUAGCGUUCACAUAGGCGAAACAUUUGAGGGACAUAAAGAGAGGGACUCUUUAUCCGGGAGUGUAACAAUAAGACAAGGGAUAACGGCUUUAAACUAAAAGAGGGGAGAUUUAGAUUAGUUGUUUGGAAGAAAUUCUUCACAAUGAGGCUGGUGAGGCACUGGAGCAGACUGCCCAGAGAAGCCAUGAAUGUCCCAUAGCUGAAAUUGCUCAAGGCCAGGUUGGAUGGGACUUUGGGCAACCUGAUCUAGUGGAAGCGGUCCCUACCCACGACAGAGGACUUGGAACAAAAUAGUCUUUCAGGUAUCUUCUAACUCAAGCAAUUCUGUGAUUCUUCAGUUCUACGACUCUAUGAAGAGAUUGCCUCAAUUUCAUAUAGCAGAUGAUCAGACAAGUUGGGAUUAUUGCCAUGGCUUCAAAUCUGCUUGAGAUAGUCUGUGCCCUAAACUACACUUAUUUAGCUGCCUUGAUAUUUCGCUGUCAUUCCUCUUCAUCCUGAGCUUCCCAUGUACACCCACUAGGGAUUUCAUUCUGUGAACACUUCCAGCUGAAACUGUACCAUGGAAUUUUUAAUGAUACUUAGACAUUGCCUCGCUUUCUUUCAGAAAUAUCUACAUGUCAAAAAUUAUGGACGUUUCUGAAGAAGUCACUGAGCUAAAGACUUCUAAAGAAGUCACAUCCUGUCAUGCCAGAUGUGUCAAACCUUCAUGUUUCAGCGCUGAUCAAUUUACUGUCUUCUCAUGACGUUGUCUUCAUUAUUUUAGCAUGAGUUUUACAUAUCAGCAUAUAAAUUAUCAUUGUAUAUCUUUGGAGACAAAGAGAAACGCAUUUUUUGACGAUAGGAUUUUAAAUAUCUUGAAUGUAUUUCCAUACUGAAUCAGGAAAGUGUUCCUCAUAUCUAACUCUGGUUUUUCAUUGGCUUUUAGAUACUGUGUGCAUACAUUAUGUCAUAUUUAUAGUAGUAUAUGUCUGUACAUAAACUUACACAUACGCAGAAAAAAAAAAUCAAAUCGAGAUGUCAUUUAUACUCUCAAUGACCAAGCUGGGGAACAAAAUUUUGCCUCAUCACACAUCUUUCUACUUCAGUGAAUUAUUUUUAUUGAUGUCACAAGUCUUAAUUUUAAAUCCAGUUUUGAUGAAAAAAGUAGCUGAUCAUCUGCCCUGUUAUUAUACAAAAUACAUUUAUAUCGAGUGGUAGGAAAUAUAAUUUGUAGAAUGAUUAAUUACAUAAUGAUUAUAGUGGAGAAAUAUAUUCUCUAACAAAAUUUGUUAAAUGGAGGAAUUUAAUAUGAAAUAGUAGAUUUCCAAAUUUAUACAAAUAACACCAGAUGGUGAGUAGCUAGUUUUAAUUAAAUUAAGUUUGAUAAUUAUAGCUGAUUAAUUUUUAGGUUUGACUCAGAUUAGAAAGAAUGCACUAUUUUCCUGUAGAUUUAUUUUUAGCUCCCUUGCAAGGCUGUGAAUAUCAGUGUGUGCUGAGGUCCGGCCAGGUCCCACAGCUGCCAGCUCGCAGCAUCUCUGUGGGACCCAGCGGUGCUCCUGCAGCUGGGAGGAUGCUCGGGCCAGGACUACCUGAUGGAAGUCAGAAGUAGUUUUGCCAAUGGAAGAAGGAGGAAGUUUCUGCCGCAGGACCAAAAUAUGUUUUCACAACCCAAUCUACUGACUCAGCUGCUUUGAACAAAGAGAAAAGCUCAACGUGACCUCUUUGCAUAUGCACACAAUUGCACAUGCUGCAGCUUGUGUCCUGGGACAUCUUCUCAGGGAGGAACAUGUAAGGGCUGAAGCCUGGAAGCAAAGAGUCCCAGAGCUUGUCCCCCACUCUAGCACACUCGGUCUCAUCACUGCUUUCCAUAAGACCGUCUGAUCUGGUCCCACAGUUGAUCUGACCAGGUCCCAGUGGUUCCACUGAACCACAGAAAUAUGCUUAAAGCCACGAAUGUGUACAAGCUCUUUUCAGACUGUGGAAAGAGACCAAAUCUUACUCUGCAGGACCUAGAACCUGAUGCUCUGUGCUCACCGCUCUGUGGGAAUCACCUCCCACCUUUGGAUCAAGUGAAGUGUAAUGUGGACAAAUCAGAAUGCACACAGGCCUUUCUAACUGAUACAGGCUUUGCAGUUUCAGCUACAAGACCAAGUGAACAUUUUCAUCAUUUUUUUGGGCUACAUCUGCAAAAUGGGUGCUGGCUUCAGAGAUGUCUGGGAAGGAUCAGUUUCUCCCUAGCAGCAAGAGGCUGAAUGUAAUGUUUGUCUGAGAGUAACUGUGAGACAUUUUCUGAUGAUCAGGGAAGGACUCAUUCAGCAUGCUUGAGCUUGUGGUGUGCUUCUCAACUGCUUGGGCUGUUAACCUGUCUCCUGGUGCCUGUACACCAUAAAAAGAAGUAGGGACUGAAAAGAUUUGAUUCAUUGUCUCAUCACAGCACAAAAGUACACUGAAUAUUGUAAUUAUAAUUAAAUAUUGUAAUUAUAAUUGAACAUUACAAUUUAAAAAUUGAAUAUUGAAUUAAACAGAGUUUUAAGUAGAUGCCUACAACUGCUCUAAGCUAUCAGGUGCUUCUGACUUCCAGCAAAUAACACGUUAGGCUACAGGAAGCCAGUCUGAGAGCAUACUCUCCAUUCUGGAUGAUAUGAAACUUAAAAGAUGCCUUAAAUAAUUUCUCACUGCAGAGCUUUCUCAGAGCCAGCACUUGGACUGGCACUCAGGCAAGGUGGUGCUGUCCUGCCUCCUCCCUCUCAAGUCCCUUCUCUUUUAUCUCAGUUUUCUCUCUGCAGGGUUCUUCUUCCAUUAUCUGCCUAGUGCAAAUCCAGUCUCCUCCUCUGCUUUCUUUUUUGUGUGCGUGUGCUGAAAAGUGGCCUCCCUGAAUUUGUGUUAUAUUGAUUAUGUAAAUCAGCGCUUCUCCUCUAGAUUGCUUUUUCUUUGUGAACUGGGAGUAUAAUUUGCAGUCUUCUACCUGAUAAUUGUGAGUAUAAUUUGAGCUGUCUCUUUGUGGAGUCAUCAGUGACUGUUUUAAUUUCCAUAUGUGAGCGGUGCUAUUUUUCUUUAACUUUUUUUUUCCUUAAUCCUGCCUCUUUCUGAACUAAUGGAUUGAUUCUGCUGCUCAUAAUAGCAUCACCUGAAGUGUAUUUUGGAAUUUCUGCUGCUGCUGAGAUUGAAAUUUAUCUACAGUGUGACACAUUUCUCAACAUUUUCAGAAAAGACAUAAUCUUGUAACUAUCAACCUGACAAUAAAAUUGUCUAUCUGUAAUGGAAAAUGGAGGACUCAAAUAUGGUCAUUUUUUUUUCACUGUGAAACCGUUUCAAAAUAAGUAAAACAAUACCAUUUUGUUGU
ensembl:lncRNA